UACGUAGGGCGCAAGCGUUGUCCGGAAUUAUUGGGCGUAAAGGGCUCGUAGGCGGUUUGUCGCGUCGGGAGUGAAAUCCACUGGCUUAACUGGUGGCUUGCUUUCGAUACGGGCAGACUGGAGGUAUGCAGGGGAGAACGGAAUUCCUGGUGUAGCGGUGAAAUGCGCAGAUAUCAGGAGGAACACCGGUGGCGAAGGCAGCUCGCUGGGACGGUACUGACGCUGAGACGCGAAAGCGUGGGAGGCGAACAGG
rnacentral:rRNA from 1 species